GGCACUGGGAACUUGCAGGCAGCCGGGGACCGCUGAAUAUAGCACUUCGUUUUCUUUCUUUGUGUUCAAAACUAUUUUUUUUCUUCCUUAGAUUUUGUUUUCCUCCCCCCACUUCAACCCCCCUCUGCAGUUGUUUCCCAUUAGUAACUCGAUCUCUCACUGCAGUAAGGUUCGCCUGCUUUCCCCUCCGUCCGCGUUUGUUUGUUUUCUGUACAUCUUCUGGAAGACGCUGGACUCCCCACCCCCUCCUCCUCCUUCCCCGUUGUUCUUUUGCCCCAGUCUUUUCCCUCCCAAGUAGAGCUAUUUCUACUCUGCCGUUUUUCUUCUUUUCUCUCCUGUCCCUGUCCCCACGCGUUUCUACGCCUCUCCACCGCGCAGCCCUGUGCGGUCGCCUUUGCUUCUUCACUCGAAUGAACUGAGAGCCCCAGGCGUGUGUUUAUGGAAAUAGUGGGGUGCCGAGCCGAAAACAAUUCGUGUCCUUUCCGCCCCCCAGCCAUGCUCUUCCACGGAAUCUCCGGAGGCCACAUCCAAGGUAUCAUGGAGGAAAUGGAGCGCAGAUCCAAGACCGAGGCCCGUCUGGCCAAAGGCACUCAGCU
rnacentral:lncRNA from 1 species